CAAAAAUAGUUCUGUCCACAGGCAUUUUGACAUCAUACUGGCAACAUUAAAUAAUUAACACCUUCUACUGGAAUUUCUAUGACUGGGAAAGAACUCAGGACAAUGGCAAA